GACGAACGCUGGCGGCGUGCCUAAUACAUGCAAGUCGAACGCAGUGGGGACGGGUGAGUAACACGUGGGUAACCUCCCAUCAGAGGGGAUAACACUUGGAAACAGGCGCUUAACCGCUACUGAUGGAUGGACCCGCGGGGCAUUAGCCAGUGGGUGGGGUAACGGCUCACCAAGGCCACGAUGCAUAGCCGGCCGGAGAGGGUGAUCAGCCACACGGGAACUGAGACACGGCCCAGACUCCUACGGGAGGCAGCAGUAGGGAAUCUUGGGCAAUGGACGAAAGUCUGACCGAGCAACGCCGCGUGAGUGAAGAAGGUUUUCGGAUCGUAAAACUCUGUUGUUGGAGAAGCGGUAUCUAACCAGAAAGCCACGGCUAACUACGUGCCAGCAGCCGCGGUAAUUC
rnacentral:rRNA from 1 species